rnacentral:rRNA from 1 species
UACGGGGGGUGCUAGCGUUGUUCGGAAUCACUGGGCGUAAAGCGCGUGUAGGCGGAUUGUUAAGUCAGGGGUGAAAUCCUGAGGCUCAACCUCAGAACUGCCUUUGAUACUGGCGAUCUUGAGUCCGGGAGAGGUGAGUGGAACUCCUAGUGUAGAGGUGAAAUUCGUAGAUAUUAGGAAGAACACCAGUGGCGAAGGCGGCUCACUGGCCCGGUACUGACGCUGAUAUGCGAAAGCGUGGGGAGCAAACAGG